GGAUAAUCUUUGAAUAAAUCAUCUUCAAAGUUAAUAUAGAUGUAAGGAUUUACAAUUAUCUUAGUUGAUUUCAGUAAUGUGGCUUGAGGAAUUUAAUUAAAUUAAUUGGACGGCCAACCCUGUGAGAGUUAUGAUGCAAGAUACUUACAAACUUGUCUGGACAAGGGAACUCGAACAACUUGACAGAUCCAAAAUCAUCACCAGUAGCCAAUGCAUUGCCAAGAUGAGACAGAUUUCACUGGGAAUCAUACAAGCAGAACAUCACUACAACAGAUACUUAAGGCCCUUACCUGAUAUCAUUAAUGGGAGCAGAUCUAUCUCGUUUACGUCCCCAGAGCUUGAAGCCUGCUGUGGCCAGCAAGAUGAAU